rnacentral:rRNA from 1 species
GAUGAACGCUGGCGGCGUGCCUAAUACAUGCAAGUCGAGCGAACAGACGAGGAGCUUGCUCCUCUGACGUUAGCGGCGGACGGGUGAGUAACACGUGGAUAACCUACCUAUAAUACUGGGAUAACUUCGGGAAACCGGAGCUAAUACCGGAUAAUAUAUUGAACCGCAUGGUUCAAUAGUGAAAGACGGUUUUGCUGUCACUUAUAGAUGGAUCCGCGCCGCAUUAGCUAGUUGGUAAGGUAACGGGCUACCAAGGCAACGAUGCGUAGCCGACCUGAGAGGGAGAUCGGCCACGCUGGAGCUGAGAGGCGGACCAGACUCCUACGGGAGGCAGGAGGAGCGAAUCGUCCGCAAAGGGCGAAAGCCUGACGGAGCAGCGCCGCGAGAGUGGAGAAGGGCAUCGGAUCGUAAAACUCUGUUCUUAGUGAAGAACAAAUGUGUAAGUAACUAUGCACGUCUUGACGGUACCGAAACAGAAAGCCACGGCUAACUACUU